UGGAGGAAGAGGAGAGAGAUGAGGUGGAGGAAGAGGAGAGAGAUGAGGUGGAGGAAGAGGAGAGAGAUGAGGUGGAGGAAGAGGGGAGAGAGAUGAGGUGGAGGAAGAGGGGAGAGAGAUGAGGUGGAGGAAGAGGGGAGAGAGAUGAGGUGGAGGAAGAGGAGAGAGAGAUGAGGUGGAGGAAGAGAAGAGAAGAGCAAGAUGAGGUGGAGGAAGAGGAGAGAGAUGAGGUGGAGGAAGAGGAGAGAGAGAUGUCUUCUCACCAAAGUCUGGCGUGUCUCUCUUCAUCUCCUCCAGAAACAUCACCUUCUUCCUCACAACAGAGCCGUAGC
ensembl:lncRNA